rnacentral:rRNA from 1 species
GAUGAACGCUGGCGGCGUGCUUAACACAUGCAAGUCGAACGGGAAAUAUUUCAUUGAGACUUCGGUGGAUUUGAUUUAUUUCUAGUGGCGGACGGGUGAGUAACGCGUGGGUAACCUGCCUUAUACAGGGGGAUAACAGUCAGAAAUGGCUGCUAAUACCGCAUAAGCGCACAGAGCUGCAUGGCUCAGUGUGAAAAACUCCGGUGGUAUAAGAUGGACCCGCGUUGGAUUAGCUAGUUGGUGGGGUAACGGCCCACCAAGGCGACGAUCCAUAGCCGGCCUGAGAGGGUGAACGGCCACAUUGGGACUGAGACACGGCCCAGACUCCUACGGGAGGCAGCAGUGGGGAAUAUUGCACAAUGGGGGAAACCCUGAUGCAGCGACGCCGCGUGAAGGAAGAAGUAUCUCAGUAUGUAAACUUCUAUCAGCAGGGAAGAUAGUGACGGUACCUGACUAAGAAGCCCCGGCUAACUACGUG